rnacentral:rRNA from 1 species
GCGUUAAUCGGUAUUACUGGGCGUAAAGCGUGCGCAGGCGGUUUUUUAAGACAGAUGUGAAAUGCCCGGGCUCAACCUGGGAACUGCAUUUGUGACUGGAAGGCUAGAGUGUGUCAGAGGGGGGUAGAAUUCCACGUGUAGCAGUGAAAUGCGUAGAGAUGUGGAGGGAUACCGAUGGCGAAGGCAGCCCCCUGGGAUAACACUGACGCUCAUGCACGAAAGCGUG